UUCCAAGACGACCUCAUCCCCAUCAUCACCAUGCCCAGGGAUACUUGUUCAUAGCCAGCCCAGAGGUGCACCAUAUUUUAGCUUCUCACGGCUUUCACUUGUUUUCUCCUGUGGGUGAAUUCUAACUAGGCUCGCCUGAGUUUCCCAUUGGCCCAACCCAACUGGAAGCCAGAGAACAAUCCAGAAAACUCAGACUCCUGAGUGUCAGAGCAGGGUUGAGGACUGAGACUGAAUAUGGAGGGGCAACUGGAAAAUACCCAACACAUGCAAAAAGGAAAAUAGAAACUGCUUGUCAAUGCUUAAUGUGUCCAUUAAUUUCCACUUGAUACAAUGUUCUUGAGUGAUUCAGAACAUUCAGAACCACCCAUAGUGGCGAGAAGAGUUUUUGAGUUUUGUCUGAGAACAAAAUUUUCCCAUCAUCGAAGAGUUUGAGCAGGUUCUGUGUGUUUAGGAUGUACUUACUGGAUGUUUCCCAAUGUGAUAGGUGGUUAGCACUGAUAGCACAUUUAGUGUGAUCAACAGAUCAACCAGAUUGGCUUCACUAGUACUUGUAAAGUUUGGGGAGCAGCCACUGGGACUGCAGCUCUGAAUUUAAGUCCUAUACAGCUUCUUGAAUCUCACAGUUCUGCUAAUACCUGAUUUCUCUGAGUGCCACGGCACUCGAGCCUAUAACCAUGAGGUUUCUUCACUUUUCUGGUAGGAGGCAUAUCCUUGCUAGCUGUACUUCAUGAACACUGUACUCUUUCAAAUUGGGGCCAUUUACUUGGUAAAAGCCCUAGGGAAGAAAAAAUUCGUGUGCUGGGAUGGGGAUCAGGAAUGUGACUUGAGAAAAGAGACAAGAUGUUAAAACUGAGUAUCAGCUGUGGGCAAACAAAUUGGCCUGGUAGGAUGUUCACCCCUUUUCUGGCCUCA